GACGAACGCUGGCGGCGUGCUUAACACAUGCAAGUCGAACGGAAAGGCCUCUUUCGGGGGGUACUCGAGUGGCGAACGGGUGAGUAACACGUGAGUAACCUGCCCUUGACUUUGGGAUAACUUCAGGAAACUGGGGCUAAUACCGGAUAGGAGCUCCUGCUGCAUGGUGGGGGUUGGAAAGUUUCGGCGGUUGGGGAUGGACUCGCGGCUUAUCAGCUUGUUGGUGGGGUAGUGGCUUACCAAGGCUUUGACGGGUAGCCGGCCUGAGAGGGUGACCGGCCACAUUGGGACUGAGAUACGGCCCAGACUCCUACGGGAGGCGGCAGUGGGGAAUAUUGCACAAUGGGUGGAAGCCUGAUGCAGCAACGCCGUGUGCGGGAUGACGGCCUUCGGGUUGGAAACCGCUUUCGCUCAUGACGAAGCUUUGUGUGACGGUAGUGGGUAAAGAAGCACCGGCUAACUACGUG
rnacentral:rRNA from 1 species